rnacentral:snRNA from 1 species
GGAGUGAGUGCUCAGUUCAAAUACUAAAAUUAGAAUGAUACAGAGAAGAUUAGCAUGAUCCUUAUACUAGAAU